CAGUAGCCACGGUAAUACGAAGGGUGCUAGCGUUGCUCGGAAUUACUGGGCGUAAAGGGAGCGUAGGCGGACUGUUUAGUCAGAGGUGAAAGCCCAGGGCUCAACCUUGGAAUUGCCUUUGAUACUGGCAGUCUUGAGUACGGAAGAGGUAUGUGGAACUCCGAGUGUAGAGGUGAAAUUCGUAGAUAUUCGGAAGAACACCAGUGGCGAAGGCGACAUACUGGUCCGUUACUGACGCUGAGGCUCGAAAGCGUGGGGAGCAAACAGGAUUAGAUACCCCGGUAGUCCCUGUCUCUUAUAC
rnacentral:rRNA from 1 species